UUACAGUAGGCGUUGUAGGCG
rnacentral:piRNA from 1 species